rnacentral:rRNA from 1 species
UGAACGCUGGCGGUAUGCUUAACACAUGCAAGUCGAACGGAAACGAAACUAGCUUGCUAGUAGGCGUCGAGUGGCGGACGGGUGAGUAACGCGUAGGAAUCUGCCUGAUAGUGGGGGAUAGCCCGAAGAAAUUCGGAUUAAUACCGCAUAAUCUAUUCGUAGUAAAGUGGGGGACUUUCGAGCCUCACGCUAUCAGAUGAGCCUGCGUAAGAUUAGCUUGUUGGUAGGGUAAAAGCCUACCAAGGCAACGAUCUUUAGCUGGUCUGAGAGGAUGAUCAGCCACAUCGGGACUGAGACACGGCCCGAACUCCUACGGGAGGCAGCAGUGGGGAAUAUUGGACAAUGGGGGCAACCCUGAUCCAGCAAUACCGCGUGUGUGAAGAAGGCCUGAGGGUUGUAAAGCACUUUCAAUUGUGAAGAAAAGUUAACGGUUAAUAACCGUUGACCUUGACGUUAACUUUAGAAGAAGCACCGGCUAACUCCGUGCCAGCAGCCGCGGUAAUACGGAGGGUGCAAGCGUUAAUCGGAAUUACUGGGCGUAAAGCGUGCGUAGGCGGUUUAUUAAGUCAGAUGUGAAAGCCCCGGGCUUAACCUGGGAACUGCAUUUGAAACUGGUCAACUAGAGUAUGGUAGAGGAAAGUGGAAUUUCUGGUGUAGCGGUGAAAUGCGUAGAUAUCAGAAGGAACAUCAAUGGCGAAGGCAACUUUCUGGACCAAUACUGACGCUGAGGUACGAAAGCGUGGGUAGCAAACAGGAUUAGAUACCCUGGUAGUCCACGCCGUAAACGAUGAUAACUAGCCGUUGGGGGGAUUUACCCCUUAGUGGCGAAGCUAACGCGUUAAGUUAUCCGCCUGGGGAGUACGGCCGCAAGGCUAAAACUCAAAGGAAUUGACGGGGACCCGCACAGCGGUGGAGCAUGUGGUUUAAUUCGAUGCAACGCGAAGAACCUUACCUGGUCUUGACAUCCUGCGAACUUUCUAGAAAUAGAUUGGUGCCUUCGGGAACGCAGUGACAGGUGCUGCAUGGCUGUCGUCAGCUCGUGUCGUGAGAUGUUGGGUUAAGUCCCGUAACGAGCGCAACCCCUAUCCUUAUUUGCCAGCACAUUAUGGUGGGAACUAUAAGGAGACUGCCGGUGAUAAACCGGAGGAAGGCGGGGACGACGUCAAGUCAUCAUGGCCCUUACGACCAGGGCUACACACGUGCUACAAUGGGAAGGACAAAGAGCCGCGAAGCCGCGAGGUGUAGCUAAUCUCACAAAUCUUCUCGUAGUCCGGAUUGGAGUCUGCAACUCGACUCCAUGAAGUCGGAAUCGCUAGUAAUCGUAGAUCAGAAUGCUACGGUGAAUACGUUCCCGGGUCUUGUACACACCGCCCGUCAUACCAUGGGAGUGGGUUGCACCAGAAGUGGCUAGUCUAACUUUGUGAGGACGGUCACCACGGUGUGAUUCAUGACUGGGGU